rnacentral:rRNA from 1 species
GAUGAACGCUGGCGGCGUGCCUAAUACAUGCAAGUCGAGCGAACGGACGAGAAGCUUGCUUCUCUGAUGUUAGCGGCGGACGGGUGAGUAACACGUGGAUGACCUACCUAUAAGACUGGGAUAACUUCGGGAAACCGGAGCUAAUACCGGAUGAUAUUUUGAACCGCAUGGUUCAAAAGUGAAAGACGGUCUUGCUGUCACUUAUAGAUGGAUCCGCGCUGCAUUAGCUAGUUGGUAAGGUAACGGCUUACCAAGGCAACGAUGCAUAGCCGACCUGAGAGGGUGAUCGGCCACACUGGAACUGAGACACGGUCCAGACUCCUACGGGAGGCAGCAGUAGGGAAUCUUCCGCAAUGGGCGAAAGCCUGACGGAGCAACGCCGCGUGAGUGAUGAAGGUCUUCGGAUCGUAAAACUCUGUUAUUAGGGAAGAACAUAUGUGUAAGUAACUGUGCACAUCUUGACGGUACCUAAUCAGAAAGCCACGGCUAACUACGUG